rnacentral:rRNA from 1 species
UACGUAGGGUGCGAGCGUUGUCCGGAAUUAUUGGGCGUAAAGGGCUCGUAGGCGGUUUGUCGCGUCGGGAGUGAAAUCCUACGGCUUAACUGUGGGCUUGCUUUCGAUACGGGCAGACUAGAGGUAUGCAGGGGAGAACGGAAUUCCUGGUGUAGCGGUGAAAUGCGCAGAUAUCAGGAGGAACACCGGUGGCGAAGGCGGUUCUCUGGGCAUGAUCUGACGCUGAGGAGCGAAAGUGUGGGGAGCGAACAGG